rnacentral:rRNA from 1 species
AAGCCUCUCGCACGAAGAUGAGCUCGCGGUCCAUUAGCUAGUUGGCGGGGUAAUGGCCCACCAAGGCGAUGAUGGAUAGCUGGUCUGAGAGGACGAUCAGCCACACUGGGACUGAGACACGGCCCAGACUCCGUACGGGAGGCAGCAGGUGGGGAAUCUUGCGCAAUGGACGAAAGUCUGACGCAGCAACGCCGCGUGAGUGAUGAAGGUCUUUGGAUCGUAAAGCUCUUUCGGGAGGGAAGAAAUGGUUGUGCGCUAAUACCGCAUAGCCUUGACGGUACCUUCAGAAGAAGCACCGGCUAACUCUGUGCCAGCAGCCGCGGUAAUACAGAGGGUGCAAGCGUUGUUCGGAAUCAUUGGGCGUAAAGCGAGUGUAGGCGGUCGAAAAGGUCGGGUGUGAAAUCCCAGGGCUUAACCCUGGAACUGCAUUCGAAACCGUUCGACUUGAGUACGGGAG